rnacentral:lncRNA from 1 species
CCUUCCUCUUUCCCCUAGUCUGGUUGCCUCCGGCUCCAUCUGUCAAGGCAUGUCGGCGGUGGCGGCUCCGACGCUGCUAGGAGUCUGUUCACGGUGGAGAUUAACUGCUUUGGGAGGCCGAUGGGGGUGUCGGGUGGUAGAGCAGCGACUCUACGGUGGGAGUUGCGGUGUUUGUGGGCGGAGCUAGCAGCUCGGGGACGGACUGGCGGCCCCGGUCGCGUGGGCGGUAGGCUGGCUCAAGCUUGGCGAUUCGUGGCGGUGGUGCGGCAGGUCUCUCGACCUGGCACACCCAGAUCGAAGGUGGAACGGUAUGCUGGGGUGAAAUCCUUGUCUGACCAUGGUCAGACCGAUGGUGGUGGCGUCUGCGGGUGUCAUCUUCUUGUAGUCUCUGUCGUGGUCUCUCCCGAUCCUCAUGUUGCCCGAGAUAAAAAUCUUGGUCCUUUGGAUCAGGUGGUGGUGGCACUAUGAUGUCAUGCCUUUCCUGAAGGCACUAUUUUGGGGCUCAUACUUCGUCAACGGACAGUUGUGUUCUUCAUGGUGGCUUGUUCUCGGUAGAGGGCUCCGUCAUCUUCAUAGUGAUACUUCUUGUACGUAUGUUGUUCGCUUUGAGUUAGCUUAGCCGCUCUUCAUCAUAUUUGUAUCUUGAUUUGGGUGUGUGCGUUUGGGUGUUGUGUUGUAUGGUUGGGAUGUAUGAGAUUCAUUGCUUUAUGUAUAAAGUGGGACGAAAGUCAUUUUUUGUUAGACUCUCUAGAAGAACAAAGAAAAUAUACCAUUUGCAGAGUUGGGC